rnacentral:sRNA from 1 species
AGGGUUAUGAAAGCCAUAUUUUAAGAAA